AGAAAAAAAACCUGUUCACUUCCUGAGGCACCAGCUACAAAAGCAGCAAGUCACACAAGCUUUGCAAGUCUCAGACUAAGGGAAAUUAAAAAAA